UAAGGAGAUAUUGAGAAGUCUACC
rnacentral:siRNA from 1 species